rnacentral:misc_RNA from 1 species
GAAAUGCGAUAAGUAAUGUGAAUUGCAGAAUUCCGUGAAUCAUUAAAUCUUUGAACGCACAUUGCGCCCUCUGGUAUUCCUAAGGGCAUGCCUGUUCGAGAAUCAGUUUAACCAUCAAGUCUAUUGGGUAAAAUCAAUGGCACUUGGACUUGAGGCCUCUGGAGUUAUCCAGAGUCUCUAAUAACAUUUGUUGCCUAGCUCGAAUGAGACUAUGUGAAAGGCAUGACCAUUGAACGAAAGUUCUUCGAUUGCUCCGAUCAUACGUUGAGUUUGUUUUAGUGCACAUUAAAUUUCACGAGGAGUAAAAUCCUUAAGACUUGAUCUCGAAUCAGACAAGACUACCCGCUGAACUUAA